UACGUAGGGUGCAAGCGUUGUCCGGAAUUAUUGGGCGUAAAGAGCUCGUAGGCGGUUUGUCGCGUCGAAUGUGAAAACCCGGGGCUCAACUCCGGGCCUGCAUUCGAUACGGGCAGACUAGAGUUCGGUAGGGGAGUCUGGAAUUCCUGGUGUAGCGGUGAAAUGCGCAGAUAUCAGGAGGAACACCGGUGGCGAAGGCGGUUCUCUGGGAAUGUCCUGACGCUGAGGAGCGAAAGUGUGGGGAGCGAACAGG
rnacentral:rRNA from 1 species